rnacentral:lncRNA from 1 species
UCGACCGCAUACCUGUAGUUUCUAAGACGAGCAGCACAAAAGUGGCUGCAGCCCCGAACACUACAAGUGCGCAGCUCCCUAUCAGAGUUGCUCCGAAACAGGUCAAUCAUAGCUUUCAUUGCUCAAUUAAAUCAACCAACAUUACACAUCUACUGCAAAGCACAACAGGCUGUAAUAUUCCUCCCCAAACUGCGGUUACGCUACAAAACAGUCAUGAGUCACAACAUCCCCUCCCGGGAUGGCCACCAUGGU